UUGACCCCCUCAUCAAAACACUCUUUUUGAAUAGGCGUGGCAGAUUGUAGACUCGGAAGUAAACGCCCACUGAUAUAAUUGGCUAACUGUUGUGUAUGUUUGACAGUCUACAUCCUUCACAGCUGCUGUGUUUUAGUUUAAAAAAAGCAUCAAUACUAAGUACAUACCAAAUGAUCUGUUUAACAGAGAAAGCAAUAGUGAUCACGUAAUAAAAACAGUUACUACUCUCACUUGUGUGGUGCUCUUGUCAUUUACCUACAACAUGUGCGAAUCGGUGGGCGGGGCUAAAGUAGUAAAGAAGUAGGGAUUGAUCUUCUUCUGCGGACGCAGUGUUUAGCUGCACUUUUACAUCAUAAAGUGGAAGUGUAGAUUCUACAAACUGUUUUGGCAGAUUGCCAUCAAUAUAAGCUGAUUUUAGACUAAUAAAAAAGUCUUAAAUUUUGAAUCUUACAGGAUGUUUUUAUAGCCUGAUGAAAUGACCUCUUAUAUAUGAAAAGAUCAAGGGAAUUUUGAUUUCUCAAUUCUCAACCCCUUUAAUCUGUUACAAUAUGCUUGUUUAAUCCCUGUUCUGGUUUUUUUUUUUUUUUUUUUUUUUACUUUUAUUUAAUCAUCUUGGUUUGAUAAUGGGUUGAAUCUCUUUUAUAAUUAUUUUUGUUUUCUCUUUUAUAGUCCCCUUCCAAUGAAAAACCCGGGACAGAUCCAUUUGUUCCACCAAACCCAUCAGAAUCACCACCUCCUCAACCUGAGAACUGCCCUGUCAACUCCGUCAGUCUGUUCAGCAGAAGCCCUUCCUCCACUGACACACUCACAGCUCUUGAAGGGUUGUCUCUACAAGCUCAAACUGCAGUCUCCACUCCUCUGUGGAAUCAGCCGCUCUCCUCCAUCUUCCCCAGCACCACCAGUGUCUCUCAGCCUUUCAAUCAAGCACCUGUCUUCUCCACUUCUCCUGCGCCUGCCUGGGGAAACAUUCCUGGAAGUUUUGGGAGUUCAACUGCUACCCAACAGCUUCCGUCAUGGAGCACCACCCCAGUCUCCAACGGAUGCAAUGGAUCCUGGAGCCCUCAUUCAGCCCUGGGGAACCCCUUCCAGACAGGCAUAUUUCCACCCAGCCUUGUGCCCGAUGGACAGCAGAGCUCCAGUCUCCCUCCACUGGUUCCACCUCGGGCAGUAGCCACCAAAGAAGCUCCAAAAGUGGACAGUAAUGCUUUUGUUGACCUGGAUCCUCUGGGAGAAAAGGAGAAGAGAGAUAUCAAGGACAUGUUUAAGGAUUUCCAGA
ensembl:lncRNA